UUAACACAUGCAAGUCGAACACCGUCGGUUAGUGCGGACGGUGAGUAACGCGUGAGAAUCGUCGCCCUCAGGAGGGGAUAACGGCUGGAAACGGCCGCUAAUACCCCAUAUGCCGAGAGGUGAAAUGAAUUUCGCCUGAGGAUGAGCUCGCGUCUGAUUAGCUAGUUGGUGUAGUAAAGGCUCACCAAGGCUUCGAUCAGUAGCUGGUCUGAGAGGAUGAUCAGCCACACUGGGACUGAGACACGGCCCAGACUCC
rnacentral:rRNA from 1 species